CAGCCGCCGCGGUAAUACGAAGGGUGCAAGCGUUCCUCGGAAUUACAGGGCGUAAAGCGUGCGUAGGUGGUCGUUUAAGUCCGUUGUGAAAGCCCUGGGCUCAACCUGGGAACUGCAGUGGAUACUGGGCGACUAGAAUGUGGUAGAGGGUAGCGGAAUUCCUGGUGUAGCAGUGAAAUGCGUAGAGAUCAGGAGGAACAUCCAUGGCGAAGGCAGCUACCUGGACCAACAUUGACACUGAGGCACGAAAGCGUGGGGAGCAAACAGGAUUAGAUACCCUGGUAGUCCACGCCCUAAACGAUGCGAACUGGAUGUUGGGUGCAAUUUGGCACGCAGUAUCGAAGCUAACGCGUUAAGUUCGCCGCCUGGGGAGUACGGCCGCAAGGUUGAAACUUAAAGGAAUUGGCGGG
rnacentral:rRNA from 1 species